rnacentral:rRNA from 1 species
GACGAACGCUGGCGGCGUGCUUAACACAUGCAAGUCGAACGGAAAGGCCCUGCUUUUGUGGGGUGCUCGAGUGGCGAACGGGUGAGUAACACGUGAGUAACCUGCCCUUGACUUUGGGAUAACUUCAGGAAACUGGGGCUAAUACCGGAUAGGAGCUCCUGCUGCAUGGUGGGGGUUGGAAAGUUUCGGCGGUUGGGGAUGGACUCGCGGCUUAUCAGCUUGUUGGUGGGGUAGUGGCUUACCAAGGCUUUGACGGGUAGCCGGCCUGAGAGGGUGACCGGCCACAUGGGGACUGAGAUACGGCCAAGACUCCUACGGGAGGCAGCAGUGGGGAAUAUUGCACAGUGGGCGGAAGCCUGAUGCAGCAACGCCGCGUGCGGGAUGACGGCCUUCGGGUUGUAAACCGCUUUCGCCUGUGACGAAGCGUGAGUGACGGUAAUGGGUAGAGAAGCACCGGCUAACUACGUG